AGCAGCCGCGGUAAUUCCAGCUCCAAUAGCGUAUAUUAAAGUUGUUGCAGUUAAAAAGCUCGUAGUUGAAUUUUAGACCUGGCCGGGCGGUCCGUCUUUGGCGAGUACUGUCUUGUUGUCGGGUCUUCCUUCUGGUGAACCAGUAUGUCCUUUAUUGGGUGUAUUGGGGAGCCAGGACCAUUACCUUGAAAAAAUUAGAGUGUUUAAAGCGGGCUAUUGCUUGAAUAGAUUAGCAUGGAAUAAUAGAAUAGGACGUUGUGGUUCUAUUUUGUUGGUUUCUAGGACCACCGUAAUGAUUAAUAGGGAUAGUUGGGGGCAUUAGUAUUCAAUUGUCAGAGGUGAAAUUCUUGGAUCGCCGUAAGACGAACUACUGCGAAAGCAUUUGCCAAGAAUGUUUU
rnacentral:rRNA from 1 species